rnacentral:rRNA from 1 species
AUUGAACGCUGGCGGUAUGCUUAACACAUGCAAGUCGAACGAUGAGAAAGAGCUUGCUCUUUCGAUUAGUGGCGGACGGGUGCGUAACGCGUAGGAAUCUACCUAUUAGUGGGGGACAACUUAGGGAAACUUAAGCUAAUACCGCAUACGCCCUACGGGGAAAGAAGGGGAUCGCAAGACCUUUUGCUAAUAGAUGAGCCUGCGUAGGAUUAGCUAGUUGGUGGGGUAAGAGCUCACCAAGGCGACGAUCCUUAACUGGUUUGAGAGAAUGAUCAGUCACACUGGAACUGAGACACGGUCCAGACUCCUACGGGAGGCAGCAGUGGGGAAUAUUGGACAAUGGGCGAAAGCCUGAUCCAGCAAUACCGCGUGUGUGAAGAAGGCCUUAGGGUUGUAAAGCACUUUCAAUUGGAAGGAAAACCUCGAAGCUAAUACCUUCGAGUUUGACAUUACCUUUAGAAGAAGCACCGGCUAACUCCGUGCCAGCCGCCGCGGUAA